rnacentral:misc_RNA from 1 species
UUUCCGUAGGUGAACCUGCGGAAGGAUCAUUACAGAGUUCAUGCCCUCACGGGUAGAACUCCCACCCUUGAAUAUUUAUACCUUAGUUGCUUUGGCAGGCCGUGGAAACACCAUGGGCUCCGGCUUAUGCGUGCCUGCCAGAGGAAACAAACUCUGUUUUUAGUGAUGUCUGAGUACUAUAUAAUAGUUAAAACUUUCAACAACGGAUCUCUUGGUUCUG